ACCCAAACCUACGAAGAAUCCGUCGAUCGUUAUACCCCACCACUUCGUCUUCUCCGAUUGAAGAUCAUAAAAACUCAGAUCUAAUCGAAUCACUUCUCAGCAAUCAGUUCUCUUCUUUACUCAUGUCAAUCAAUACCUUUUUAAUGAGUUCAUUUCACCUUCCACUUUUUCUCCUUUUUUAUAUACAACUUUUCUUUCCUCCCUACAAACCAAAACCCUAGAAUCGACUCCAAUUAAGCUCUAGCCAUAGCGAUGAAACCAAACGGAAAGUCCCCUGUCUCCUCCGUCAAUGAUCACGAAGUUAUGUUCUUCAAAGAUAUCUCACUAGGUCCCCACGAAACCCAGUACGAUUUAACAGAAGCUUAAAGUGAUCAUCACUAGAUUCAGAUGUCUGAAUUGAAGGCGAGACGGUGCAGUCCACGUGUUGAGACAAGGUUUUAGCGUUUCCGACAAGCCCGAAAUGUUGAGAAAGGUGGUGAGCUCAUGGGCGUUGAUAUGCUUUCGGUUGAUGCAAGGUAACUCCCUUCCACUUAAAUUGUUAUGGCCACCGUCCCUUCACAGUUGACGCUAAUCCAAACCUCCAUCAAUGUUCAACGGUUUAACACCUUCUAAAACCUCUAUUCAAAAGCAAGCUGAGAGCUUGACUAUUACAGUAUCAUCGAUUGUGAUUCACACAAUGAUUUCCCAGCCGUUUGUUUCAAUCCUUACUCCUUACCAAUUCUGUUACUUUUUAAUCUGACAAAACAUGCUUAUUCGAUGUUUGUUUGGUGGUUUUACAGGCUGUUUUCUCUUGAGAUUGAAAAUCAUUAAUGUAGAAUGAAAUAGGAUUGUGUUGGGUUUACUAAGGAUAAAUUUAGAUAGACAUUUAUGUUGAUUCUUAAGAUUUUUUUUAAUGCACACAAGCUGUUAAACUCUAGACACAUGUUUAUGAUUUCUCCAACGGGUAAAUUGCUUGCUUGCUCAUGCUAUUGUUCGUUUAUACAAUGUUUCAACACAAAAGUUUUACUGCUUUCUCUGUUUCCAAAUAGAACGUUGUUGGUUAAUGAACCUAUAAUGGUAUCGCAAAACUGAAAAACAAGAAUGAUUUACACAAGAACUCUAGGCCUGAAUUAAGGACACCUAACCUGUUUUUUGGUGAAUCAAUAUCUGAUGCAGCUCUUCCUCCAAGUGCAACACAGAGCCAUGGGUUAAGUCUUAUCUAAGGCUAUGAUGCAGUUAUAUUACUGCAAGUUGGUUACUUGAAAGCUGAAACAAUGCUUCAAACUGCCGAUGAACAAGUCAUGACCUUAAAGAAGCAUAGUACUUUUCUGGCUCUGUUAGCAGCAAAAAAAAAUCAAUAUGCAGAGUCAGUUAGCAGAAACAAUCAUCUCUUACGCUUGAUUCGUGCUCAGGUCUGUAAGUUUGCUUCGUUUACUGAAUUUUAUUUUUUCUCAGGAUCCUUCUAAGCAUGUUUUUCAUCUUGCGACAGAUAAACUAAAAUUUGGAACAAUGACCAUGUGGUUCAUCCUUAACCCACCUGGAAAGGCAACCAUACCUGUGGCAAACGUGAAUUCUUUAAUGCAACAUAUGAGACUCAAUUCAACUUUGGCAAUGAGAUCAGUGCUGGUUGUGUUACACUGAUGGUCAUUGCUCCUCAAGUUCUUUGAUGUAUGGAGGUGUUCAGAAAAUAUAAACAGUAACGGUGCCAGAGCUUGAUUCGUCACCACAGGUCAAUACCGUACUAGCUUCUUAUUUUUAAGCAGGACCCAAGUGUGGAGGAUCCGUUGCGAUCUCCCACAAUGUCUCCCGCAUCUCCGCUCUCCCAACAGUGCUGUCAGAGCCUAAACUUUUCAGUUGCAGCUGUCUAAAUUCAAAUUCUCUUCCAACCAUCAGACAUUCACUAUCUCCGCUCUUCGAUCGCAACUGAUAUAGACACAGUAGUAGCUAUCUAACAUUGGGAUAGACGGAGGCAAUCACAACCCUGCCGAUGAUAUACCAGGAGCUACAUGUGUUUUCUGCAACAGUUCUGAGGGAAUGAAGCUCACUGGUAGCUACUGGCCUUGCUCAUGAAACACAUCAACUCGCAAGUCAAAAUGACUUAAACUUCUCAAGUUUCAGAUAUUACGACCCUAUUUACUAGCAAAUCAUGAUAUCACCUACUAUGUUUUCAAAUUAUGCGCACAAUAAAUUCGUACUUUGCACUUAUCCAAAACUUUUUGAUUUGCUUAUUUGCUACUUUUGGUCAACUUAUUAACAGAAAACAACAAUGUCCUACAAACUUAAUGAAAGGAUGAUGUUUUCUCUAUC